CAUAAUGGCCAUUCCAGGCUGAACGCGCUCGAUCUCGUCUGAUCUCGGAAGCUAAAUAGGAUUGGUACUGGUUAUUACUUGGAUGGGAGACCACCUAGCAAUACCAGGUGCUGUAGGCA
rnacentral:rRNA from 1 species